rnacentral:rRNA from 1 species
CCCUUAGACGUUCUGGGCCGCACGCGCGCUACACUGACCAGUGCAACAAGCAUCCGUCCUUGGCCGACAGGCCCGGGCAAUCUUUGAACGCUGGUCGUGAUGGGGAUAGACUUUUGCAAUUUUUGGUCUUCAACGAGGAAUUCCGAGUAAACGCAAGUCAUCAACUUGCAUUGAUUACGUCCCUGCCCUUUGUACACACCGCCCGUCGCACCUACCGAUUGAAUGGUCCGGUGAAGCCUCCGGAUUGGCGCGCACCUCGGUGCCGCCGAGAAGUUGGCUAAACCUUACCAUUUAGAGGAAGGUGAAGUCGUAACA